rnacentral:rRNA from 1 species
GACGAACGCUGGCGGCGUGCUUAACACAUGCAAGUCGAACGAUGAAGCUGGAGCUUGCUCCGGUGGAUUAGUGGCGAACGGGUGAGUAACACGUGAGCAAUCUGCCCUUGACUCUGGGAUAACUGCGGGAAACUGUAGCUAAUACCGGAUAUGAGAUCUGAAGGCAUCUUCGGGUUUGGAAAGAAUUUCGGUCAAGGAUGAGCUCGCGGCCUAUCAGCUAGUUGGUGAGGUAAUGGCUCACCAAGGCGACGACGGGUAGCCGGCAUGAGAGGGUCCCCGGCCACCCUGGAAAUGAGACAAGGUCCAGACUCCUACGGGAGGCAGCAGUGGGAAAUAUUGCACAAUGGGCGAAAGCCUGAUGCAGCAACGCCGCGUGAGGGAUGAAGGCCUUCGGGUUGUAAACCUCUUUUAGCAGGGAAGAAGCGAAAGUGACGGUACCUGCAGAAAAAGCACCGGCUAACUACGUGCCAGCCGCCGCCGUAA